UGGGGAAUUUUGGACAAUGGGGCGAAAGCCUGAUCCAGCAAUGCCGCGUGUGUGAAGAAGGCCUUCGGGUUGUAAAGCACUUUUGUCCGGAAAGAAAUCCUUGGCUCUAAUACAGUCGGGGGAUGACGGUACCGGAAGAAUAAGCACCGGCUAACUACGUGCCAGCAGCCGCGGUAAUACGUAGGGUGCAAGCGUUAAUCGGAAUUACUGGGCGUAAAGCGUGCGCAGGCGGUUUGCUAAGACCGAUGUGAAAUCCCCGGGCUCAACCUGGGAACUGCAUUGGUGACUGGCAGGCUAGAGUAUGGCAGAGGGGGGUAGAAUUCCACGUGUAGCAGUGAAAUGCGUAGAGAUGUGGAGGAAUACCGAUGGCGAAGGCAGCCCCCUGGGCCAAUACUGACGCUCAUGCACGAAAGCGUGGGGAGCAAACAGGAUUAGAUACCCUGGUAGUCCACGCCCUAAACGAUGUCAACUAGUUGUUGGGGAUUCAUUUCCUUAGUAACGUAGCUAACGCGUGAAGUUGACCGCCUGGGGAGUACGGUCGCAAGAUUAAAACUUAAAUGAAUUGACGGGGUCAUAGCUGUUUCCU
rnacentral:rRNA from 1 species